rnacentral:rRNA from 1 species
CUUUCUUUGCUGGCGACCGGCGCACGGGUGAGUAACACGUAUCCAACCUGCCCUUUACUCGGGGAUAGCCUUUCGAAAGAAAGAUUAAUACCCGAUAGCAUAAUGAUUCCGCAUGGUUUCAUUAUUAAAGGAUUCCGGUAAAGGAUGGGGAUGCGUUCCAUUAGGUUGUUGGUGAGGUAACGGCUCACCAAGCCUUCGAUGGAUAGGGGUUCUGAGAGGAAGGUCCCCCACGUUGGAACUGAGACACGGUCCAA